GAGGAGUUGACAGAAAGUUAUGUACUUAGCUUGAAACUAAGAGAAUGCAGGUUUGAGUCCUGUCCUCCUUUG
rnacentral:tRNA from 1 species